AACGAACGCUGGCGGCAGGCCUAAAACAUGCAAGUCGAACGCCCCGCAAGGGGAGUGGCGCACGGGUGAGUAACGCGUGGGAACGUGCCCUUCACUACGGGACAACGUCGGGAAACUGACGCUAAUACCGUAUAAUGACUCCGGUCCAAAGUUUUAUCGGUGAAGGAGCGGCCCGCGUCUGAUUAGCUAGUUGGUGAGGUAAAGGCUUACCAAGGCGACGAUCAGUAGCAGGUCUGAGAGGAUGAUCUGCCACACUGGGACUGAGACACGGCCCAGACUCCUACGGGAGGCAGCAGUUAGGAAUAUUGGACAAUGGGCGAAAGCCUGAUCCAGCCAUGCCGCGUGUGUGAUGAAGGCCCUAGGGUUGUAAAGCACUUUCGUUGGGGAUGAUAAUGACCGUACCCGAAGAAGAAGCACCGGCUAACUUCGUGCCAGCCGCCGCGGUAA
rnacentral:rRNA from 1 species